rfam:Penicillium digitatum PHI26 unplaced genomic scaffold Scaffold_51, whole genome shotgun sequence.
AUGUCUCUUGCCUCGCUCGGUCUGCCGUUUCCUCUCGGCUAAUCUUGAGCUGGAUGCAGUCGGUCACUUAAAAGUGCUGACUUGUACGAGACAAGAUGAAGCGUGAAAACGCGUCGACGCUUUUUGAGUACGAUUUGAUCCGCAAUGCACCACGGGUCUGCGUCGUAAUUUAUCAGUUGGGACAAAC